CCUACGGGAGGCAGCAGUGGGGAAUAUUGCACAAUGGGCGCAAGCCUGAUGCAGCCAUGCCGCGUGUGUGAAGAAGGCCUUCGGGUUGUAAAGCACUUUCAGCGGGGAGGAAGGCGGUGAGGUUAAUAACCUCAUCGAUUGACGUUACCCGCAGAAGAAGCACCGGCUAACUCCGUGCCAGCAGCCGCGGUAAUACGGAGGGUGCAAGCGUUAAUCGGAAUUACUGGGCGUAAAGCGCACGCAGGCGGUCUGUCAAGUCGGAUGUGAAAUCCCCGGGCUCAACCUGGGAACUGCAUUCGAAACUGGCAGGCUAGAGUCUUGGAGAGGGGGGUAGAAUGCCAGGUGUAGCGGUGAAAUGCGUAGAGAUCUGGAGGAAUACCGGUGGCGAAGGCGGCCCCCUGGACAAAGACUGACGCUCAGGUGCGAAAGCGUGGGGAGCAAACAGGAUUAGAGACCCGGUAGUC
rnacentral:rRNA from 1 species